rnacentral:rRNA from 1 species
UGUCCUUUCGGUGAAAGAUCCGUCGGUCCGGGAUGGGCAUGCGGCGCAUUAGCUUGUUGGCGGGGCAACGGCCCACCAAGGCGACGAUGCGUAGGGGUUCUGAGAGGAAGGUCCCCCACACUGGUACUGAGACACGGACCAGACUCCUACGGGAGGCAGCAGUGAGGAAUAUUGGUCAAUGGUCGGGAGACUGAACCAGCCAAGUCGCGUGCGGGAUGAAGGCCCUCCGGGUCGUAAACCGCUUUAGCCGGGGAAUAACGUGGGGGUCGUGACCCUCAGUGAGAGUACCCGGAGAAUAAGCAUCGGCUAACUCCGUGCCAGCAGCCGCGGUAAUACGGAGGAUGCGAGCGUUAUCCGGAUUUAUUGGGUUUAAAGGGUGCGCAGGCGGUCUGUCAAGUCAGCGGUCAAACUGCGGCGCUCAACGCCGUACCGCCGUUGAAACUGGCGGACUCGAGUGUGUGCGAGGAUGGCGGAAUGCGCGGUGUAGCGGUGAAAUGCAUAGAUAUCGCGCAGAACUCCGAUUGCGAAGGCAGCUGUCCAGCACGCCACUGACGCUCAUGCACGAAAGCGUGGGUAUCGA